UACGUGGGGUGCGAGCGUUAAUCGGAAUUACUGGGCGUAAAGCGUGCGCAGGCGGUUCGUUGUGUCGGUGGUGAAAGCCCCGGGCUUAACCUGGGAAUGGCCAUGGAAACUGGCGAACUGGAGUGUGGCAGAGGGGGGUGGAAUUCCGCGUGUAGCAGUGAAAUGCGUAGAGAUGCGGAGGAACACCGAUGGCGAAGGCAGCCCCCUGGGCUAGCACUGACGCUCAGGCACGAAAGCGUGGGGAGCAAACAGG
rnacentral:rRNA from 1 species